rnacentral:miRNA from 15 species
UGGCUCUUCUUUGUUUCUGAUAGUUGAGGGGAGUGUCGUCUGGUACGAAGCCAUUGGAACAAACAAAGAGCAACUUCUCACUCCAUUUCUUGUGCUGGCAAAUGGUUUCGGACCAGGCUUCAUUCCCCCUAACUAGUGGCAGUGGUU